CUGAGUAAUUUUUUUUCAUGUUUCAUAAAAUCUUUAUUGACAAAUAAUUCACAUAGUACACAAUUUGCCUGUUUGCACAAUUUGAUAGACUUUAGUCCAGCAUCCUCAUAGGCCCAGGACACCAUCACCACUUCCUAUUUUAGAACAUCGCUGUCUUCAAUUUCAGACACACAUAUAAUGUAUGGUGAUUACACUCCACCUGAUUCUUUUUAUUACAUUCCACCUUAUUUCUUUAAAUAAACAUAUUAUUUGCAGUUCUAACCAUUUUUAAGUUCACAAUUCAGUAGCAUGAAUUACACUCGUGAUAUUAAUUACA